rnacentral:rRNA from 1 species
GCUUAAGGUACGUGCUAAUCCCUUGGGUAACCAAGCUCCUAUAUCAAGACCCGACAGGUCGAAGUAUAGGGGGGCAGGUAGGAUACCAUGUAUCUACUUGCUGGUUAAGUUUCUUGGAGAUUCCAAGAAACUGUAAAUGCUGUGAUGCCCUUAGAUGUUCUGGGCCGCACGCGCGCUACACUGACAGAGCCAACGAGUUCAUCACCUUGGCCGAAAGGUCUGGGUAAUCUUGUGAAACUCC